rnacentral:rRNA from 1 species
GAUGAACGCUGGCGGCGUGCUUAACACAUGCAAGUCGAACGGAAAGGCCUCUGCUUGCAGGGGUACUCGAGUGGCGAACGGGUGAGUAACACGUGGGUGAUCUGCCCUGCACUUCGGGAUAAGCCUGGGAAACUGGGUCUAAUACCGGAUAGGACAAUGGUUUGGAUGCUGUUGUGGAAAGUUUUUCGGUGUGGGGUGAGCUCGCGGCCUAUCAGCUUGUUGGUGGGGUAAUGGCCUACCAAGGCGUCGACGGGUAGCCGGCCUGAGAGGGUGUACGGCCACAGUGGGACUGGGAUACGGCCCAGACUCCUACGGGAGGCAGCAGUGGGGAAGAUUGCACAAUGGGCGCAAGCCAGAUGCAGCGACGCCGCGGGGGGGAGGACGGCCUUCGGGUUGGAAACUCCUUUCGCUAGGGACGAAGCGUUUUUGUGACGGUACCGGGAGAAGAAGCACCGGUGAACUACGU